AUUGAACGCUGGCGGCAUGCUUUACACAUGCAAGUCGAACGGUAACAGGUUAAGCUGACGAGUGGCGAACGGGUGAGUAAUGCAUCGGAACGUGCCCGGUCGUGGGGGAUAACGCAGCGAAAGCUGCGCUAAUACCGCAUACGAUCUGAGGAUGAAAGCGGGGGACCGUAAGGCCUCGCGCGAUCGGAGCGGCCGAUGUCAGAUUAGGUAGUUGGUGGGGUAAAGGCUCACCAAGCCGACGAUCUGUAGCUGGUCUGAGAGGACGACCAGCCAGACUGGGACUGAGACACGGCCCAGACUCCUACGGGAGGCAGCAGUGGGGAAUUGUGGACGAUGGGCGCAAGCCUGAUCCAGCAAUGCCGCGUGCAGGAAGAAGGCCUUCGGGUUGUAAACUGCUUUUGUACGGAGCGAAAAGGCUCUCUCUAAUACAGGGGGCUCAUGACGGUACCGUAAGAAUAAGCACCGGCUAACUACGUGCCAGCCGCCGCUGUAA
rnacentral:rRNA from 1 species